AUCUCCAGCAAAACUAGCUCCGCAUUCUCCCCUCUCUUAAGCAACGAAAAAAAGGAAAUCGCGUCUCUCCAAAAGACCAAACAACAACAAAAAGUCCCUCGACAGCUGAACAACCAAAAAAGAAGAGACGCGAAGCCUUCAUCAGCCCCAAGCACGUAUUACUAGUAGCUCACUGGUCUUUCUUUGUUGUCUCGUUGUGGUUGUGGUUGUUGUGUACCUUUGUGUGUGCGUGUGUCCCACGCCUCCCCUUUCCCCUCUCCUCUGUUAUUUUUGUACUCGUGAUCCCGUCUCUCUCCCUCACCCCUCAAACAUUAUCGUGGUCCAGACGCGUUCACUCUUUCUUUUGGCUUUCACUUAUUUGUCGCACCCAAGUAUUUCCUACAUACCCCCCCCCCCUCUCUUUUCUGGCUUCGACCACCUCUUUUGCUUUUGGUGUUGUUUUCCGUUUGUCGUCUUUCUCACUACACAUCUCCCCUCUCCCCACGCCCUUCGCAUCAGCUUGUUGCUGUUGUUGCUGCUGCUGCCCAUCACCCACCCUUCUUUUAGCCACUCCCUCUUUUCCCCAGCAUUCUCCCCCCCCCGUCUUCUCCUCGCUUCCCUACGAGCUUGCUCGGAGAAGAGUGAAGAAAGCAACAACGACAAUCCCAUAUCUUUUUUUUUUUGCUUGUCUUUCAGUUGUUUGCUUCUUGGGUUGGGAUUCUACUGUUAUCUACACCUCCCUCUACCUCCACUCCCCCCAGCUGCCUUCACACUUUUUUUGUUUCUUUCGGCCCUCCCCGCACACAUCUAGCCCUUCCCUUUCCUUUCUGUGUGUGUGUGUGUUUGUGGGGUUGUGUUUCGCCCCCCCCCCUCCCUCGUCGUUGUUAUUGUUUGCUUUCUUCGCUCAUCUUUCAUCUGAUUUGUGUGUGUGUGUGUAUGUGUGUGUAGGUUUUGACCGUUCCUUUAUUUUUUGUUUGCUUGGCUUCCUUUUCUCCCUCCCCCUCCCCGACUUUUUGUUUGACACCCUCUCUCUUCCGUCUCAUCUACCCAACCAUAUCUGCCUCUGUUUUUUUUUCCUUCUGCCGUUUUUGAUUUUUGGUCCUGUUCUGCCACCUGUGCUCUCCUCAUCCAACACACUCUUUCUCUCGCAGAUUCUUGUGUGUGUGUACGUCUGCAUCUUCCGUCUCUAGUGUUUGUCUGUGUGCCAAGGCGUUUCGGUCGUUUUCUUGUGCGUUUUUUUUUCUGCCUUGAUUUUCUUUUGUUUGUGUUGUGUGCUCCCCGUUUUUUUUUAGGUCUUACGUGUUUACAUUUCCCCUCCCCUUUUGUUGUUUUGUUUCCGGUUGUGUUGAUUCCCUCGCCCCUCUCCAUCUCUCUCGCGUGCUGUGUGUGUGUGUGGUCUCUCUGUCUUCUCAGGUUCUUUUUCUUGCUGUUGUUGUUUUCUCUGAGUCACCUUUGACUGUGCGUCAUUUCUUUUUUUUUUAUUGGUUCUUCUUUCUUCGUUGACCGACUGCCACUCCGAGAAUCAGUCGUUUGUGUGUGUGUGUGUGUGCUUCUUCCUUCACUUCCUGUUUCGUAACUUUCUGUGUCAGUGUGUCUGUGUAUUCGGACAGCAACGGAAACGAAGGGGAUUGCCUGCAAGACGAAAAAAAACGAAAAGGAGAGAAAAGGAUAUCACCGUGGCGGCAGCACGUAGGAAAAAGAAGCAAAGUCGAGCAAGCAAUAAAGGUAGUUGUUGAGUGAAACAAAAAAAAAAACAGAAAGCAUACACGUCGCGAAAACAACAGCAAAACUGAACGAGAGGGGCCAGCGGCAAUAGACAGAGAAAACGAAAAGGCACUUCAAAGCAGAGCAGGAGUGGCAGAAGAGUUGUGCGCGUGUUUGCUUAUUUUUUUCGUGUGUGUGUGUGUGUGGGUGGGUGGGUGUAUGUGAGAGAGUCCGAUUCCCUCCACGAGAAAUUCUCGCAUCUCUCUGGCCCCUCUUCUGGUGGGCUCGCUGUGGUCUCCCUCCUCUUUCUGCGUAGAAACGCCUUCCCACUCGCGUGUGGUUGCGUUUUACUUUGCUUGUCUUUCUGUCAAUUUUUUUCCUCUGUCUUACCUUUUUUCAAAGACCAAUAACGAAAAAAAAUUCUCAAAAAGCCGGGAACGACUUUGUGUGUGAGUGCGUGCGUGAGUGUUCCUUUUUUUUUACUGGGUUCUCGUCGUUUUCUUGUUUCCGCUUUUUCUGUGUGUUUCUCUCUCUCUUGGUGUGUGAGUGGGUAUCUUCUUUCGCAACGCUACUUCACCGCCUCCUCCCUCCUUCCUUGCACCCCCCCCCCUGCCUCGCCCUCGCUGCCCAUCAGCGCGCGUGUCUCUGUGUCUGAGUGAUUUUUCAUCUCCCAUUUUUUUCGCUAGUGCGCUACCCAUUUACGUGCAGUCGAAAAAAAAGUGGAGGACAGACCCAAAAGUGGCAGCGCUCGUGCUUCUCUGAUUUUCUUUGUUACUGCUUAUAUCCAUACAGACGUAUUUCCAAAGAAGAAGAUACACUCUUCCCCCCCCCUCCGCUUCUUUUGGUACUUGCAUUUCCGUCUUCCCUCUAUUGUCGCUCUUCUUCGCGUGUCUGUGUGCCCGUGUGCGUGUGUUUGUUUCUCUUUGUCUUUGCGCCGCCAUCCACCACCCCAUAUCCACCUCCGUUUGCCUGCUGUCUUUUUUUUUUUCUGUCCCUACGGGCUCGCUUGUCUCCUUGUCUGACCGAAGAAAAAAACACACGAAAAAGAAAGGAAACAGUGUCGUUGGACUGUGUGUGUGUAUGUGCAGGUGAUUCUCGCUGAGAUUGCUUCUUACAGUCGCCUAUCGGCUUGUGAACAUCUCUGUUCGUUGUUGUUGUCCAUUCUCUUCGCUCUUUCGUUUUUUUUUCGCCUUUUCGCGCCUGCUUUCGAUUCCUCCUCCUCCCUUCCUUCCUUCCUUUGUGAACGUGUGGCAAAACAAGCAACGGUACAAGAAAACAACAACCAAAAGGAAGAAGGUGCGUAUUCUCUUCUGUCUUGCCUCUUGCCUGGCUUGUGUGGAUCUCUGACGCUCUGUGCCACCCCGUUUGUGCGAUUCCCUCUUCUCUUUACUUAUUUCGUUGCUUUAUCUUCCCCUUCAUUUUGUUGUUUGUUUGUCUUCUGUUAUUUGCCUUCGCAUCGGUGCUCUGUACGUUUCUAGUUGUUGUUGACCCCCCACCACCACCACCACCUCUCUCUCGUAUUCCUUUUCUUCCCCCUUUCCGCUUUCUCCCUACCGCUACUCGUGCUAGUGUGGUGUACUCCCUUUUCUGUUCGCUUCUUUUUGUGCGUGAUUGUGUGUGGCUUUCGCUCUUUUCUGUGUUCCCUGUUGUUGUUUUCGGUGGCCACCUACGUUCUCUCGCGUCUGCUGGAGCUUCUCCUGUAGGACACACAGGCAACCAUACACGUUUACAGUAUUACGAAGUACCCUGUGUGCCGCUGUCGCCCUCAUCGUUGUUGUCUCGUGCUUUAUUUUUCCGCCUCGUGCUCACGCUCUUUUGUUAUUGUUGUUCUUUCUUGUUUUUCUUUGCUGCUCUUGGUUUUGUAUUGCCUCUUCCAACGUAGAAACAAAACAAAAAAGGGGUGAGGAGGGGGCAACAAAAAAAAAAGGCACCAAAGAAAAAAAGCAAAACACAGCAGAUCAUCCCGCCGCACUCGCGCCCACUCUCUCUGUUCUUUGGUGCUCCUCCCCCCGCCCCGCCCCGCCCCGCCCCGCCCUCCCACUUCCCUUUUUCGUUCUACCAUUCUUCCGCUUUGUUAUCUGCUGCAAGAGCAAGCAACAGAACGUACUUGUUAUAUAGAUAGAUAGAUAGUUUGCGUCCCUCUCGCGCACGCGCACUCUUUCGAUUCCUCGCGUUUAUCUGCCCCGCUGGUCUCCUUCCAUCUUUGCCUCGUCUGUGUGUGUGUGUGUGUGUGUGUGUGUGUGUCCAUUUAUUCGUUGGUUGAUUCCCUCUCGCUCUCUUUUUUUUUGUUCUGUAUCCGUCUUCGCCCUUUUCCUCUUCUACUGCAAACGUGGUCCACUCCCUUUCUGCUGGCAAGCAAGGGCACACCACCGCAGCACAGACAGAGAGGCCCAGUACAUACAAAGGGAAUGGAGCGUGCGGCCACUCAAAGCCAGAGCAUCUACUCCAACGCUAACACCAGCAGCAGCAACGCUAACACCUACGGUAACACUGUCUCCUCCUACCUGUCCAACAACAGCCCGAACGCAGUCAUGUACGGCGGUGGCAACAGCAGCAACGGUGGUGCACCUUCGUCCACCUCGGUCGCCACGGUGUACGCCUCUCCCACGCAAGCUUCGCCGAGUCAGGCGAUCCGUCAGCAGGCGCAGGGAUCCGCGCAGCAGAAUAUGAGCCAGUCGCAAACGAGCACCUCCUUCAACACCUACGGCGGCGGUGCGGCCAGCGGCUCCGGCAGUGGCUUCUUUUACUCCACUCCGUCGGCGCAGGCGCCGGGGGCGCAGCCCAUGUACUCUGCCAACGCCUCCGCCGCGGCAAUGUUCCCAAUGCGUGGUGGAUCCACCUCCAUGACGCCGGCGCAGCCCACCCCAACCCAGAUGCUGACACCUCAGGCCAACGCUGCCGCCGCGGCGGCAGCGGCAGCGGUGUGGACCAGCGCUGCGGCAAACAUCAACGCUGGCAGCAAGCUCUUCGUUGGCCAGGUGCCUGCAGUGUGCACUGAGGACCAGCUCCGCCCUCUGUUUGCGCAGUUCGGCACUCUGCUAGAGAUCAAGAUCAUGCGGGAGCCGAACGGUCGUAGCAAGGGUAGCGCGUGGGUGCGCUACGAGCUGGAGGAAUCUGCGCAGCGUGCCAUCACUGCCCUCAACGAGAAGCAUGUUGUGCCGCCACAAACGAACCCGCUUCGUGUUCAGUUUGCCGCACCCAGCACCAACCGCAUCCCGCAGCCCCUAUCGGCCCUUGGCUCCAUCAUGCCGCCUUCUGCAGUCAUGCAGCCGCAGCCGCAGCCAAGCUACGCGACCGCAGCGACUUAUGCCACCCCGCAGGGCUACGCCGGCGCCACCACAGCGUACAUGCAGGGACAGUACGCGACCUCGCCCAACCUGAUGGCUGUUCGUGCCUCUCCACAGCAGCAGGCAGCGGUGCAGUCUGCGCCUGGCAAGAUCGAAUACCUGCGCAGCAACCAGCCUGGCGGUCUUAUCUACUCCACCGCCUCCCCGACCGCUGUUGAUGCGAUGCAGCAGCAGCAGCAGCAACAGCAGCAGUCGCCACAGCAGCAGCAAGUGGUGUACACAACCGGUGGCCAGAUGCGCGCUGGUGUCAUGUACACCCCGGAUGCAUUUGCCAUGACGAACCAGAUGGCUGCCGCGCCGCAGCAGCCGCAUCAGUGGUGCAGCUAAACCGAACCAACAAUUUAUGAGACCCUCCUGUUUUGGUUUUGCUUGCCCUUUUGUCUCAUGGUUUGCCUCUUCUUCGUUACGGUGCACAGGAUACAUGCUGUAUGUGUGAAGAUACGUGUGCAUGCAUCCAUAUCUAUGUGCGGGUACGCUUUUAUUUAUUUUUGUUUUGAAUCCAAUGUGUUCCUUGCGUCUGUGAUUCUGUCUAUGUAUGUGUAAGUGUGUGUGUGUGUGUGUGUGUAUGCACGAACGUGCUUGCUUUCACGUUAUUUUGUUACUCUGUAUUGUGCGUGUGCGUGUGAAUGCGCGUGAGCUUGCCUGUCUCGUAUGACCAAUCUUCUCGGGUUUCCUUUGCAUGUUUUCUGCUCUUACUCUACUCUUGCCGUUCCUUCCUCUCUCUUCUUCACCAUCUCCGAUCGUCCUCCGUAUAGCCACUUAGUAUGCUUUGCUUGUGAGUGCGUGCAGGUGUGUCUUGGCCAGUGUAAGAGUUUCGGAUACUGAGCGGUGAAUAUGCUUGCCGCGUGGUGUGCCCCAUUUUCUUUCUUUGUGUGCGUGUGGUCUUGCGUCUUGUUCGCUUUCUUCACCAUCUGUAACGCUGUACGUUACUUCUUUGUAAACGAAAAAUCUUCCUUGAUUCUCCUCCCUCCCUUUCUCUCGUUGUCUCUCUUUCGUGCGAAUGUGACGCCCAAUGUGUUCUGUCUUGGUUCUUUUUGAUUUUUUGGUUCUGUGCGUGUGUGUGUGUCUAUGUCCGUGUGUGUGUGUAUAAGUAUGUGUGCAAGUGUGUGUGUGUGUUUCUGCCUGUGCGUGUUUGUGCAUGCGUGUGUGUAUGUAUGUGUGUGUUCGUAUGCGUGUUUUCUUUUUGUGUGCAUGUGUGUGUUUUUGUCUUUGUGUGUAUAUGUACGCCACCGUGUGUGGGAAUACAUUUCUGCGUGUGUCUCGCCCCUCGUAGUCUUCAUCGGCCUCCGACGCUGCCCCUCACGCCCCUACACGGCUUCUUAGUGCCUUCACACUACGCCUCCUCUUUUCACGUUCACGUGCCCAGCUCUGCAUCCGAAUCCAACAUACAAGCACGCGCGCACACACAUACACACAUAAGGCACACAGAGAUGCACUGUUAAGGAAAACGAUGAAGGAAAACUGAAGUCUCAAGUGCCUCCUUGCUCGUUUCUUUUCGUCCUUUAGUUUUGAUCUCCCUCAUCUCUACGUUCGACAUCUAUGCUCCUUUUCCUUUUGCUCUACUGUGGCGAGUUCCUUUCUCCUCUUUGGUUCACUCUUCAUCUCCCGUUUCUCUCUCGCUACCAUCAGCCAAAGGCAAGUGCCUGCGUACAUAGCGAAGAGGUUCAUCGCCACCCCUCCUCCCUCUCUCCCCUCAUCGCCCACGCGCGCCCUCUCUCUAGCGGCGUGUAGGAAUGUAUGCACACGUGUUGACAUGUCUCGAAGUGCCGGUGGAGCUGUCUCUCCACUCCUCUUCCCCCUCUCCAGUCCCACACCUUCCUUUCUCUUUUCCUUCGUUUUUUAAUCUCUUCGCUCCCCCUUUCCUCUUUUCUUCCCCCCCCCACCGCCACUUCCAAUCCGCUCUCUCGCUUGAAAAGCGAGGGAGACCCCCCCCCCCACAUACACACACACACACCUGCACACGCACGAGUACGGAUACUCAUGUGCUUUCAUACAUGUAUAUAUAUAUAUAUAUAUCUGCCUACUAUAUGUGCAUGUAUAUGUGUGUGUGUAUGUGUAUGCAUACAUGUAUAUACACAAAUCUAUAUAUCUAUAUAGAUAUAUAGAUAUGACAUGUUUCUGUUAUAUUGUGAACCACGUGCAUGCGUGCUUUUUUUGUCGUUUUCUGUUCGUAUGCUUUCCCUCCCUCAUUUGCUCCGUUAGUUUCCUUGGUUUUACACAGCCUCCCUCCUCCUCGCCUCUCCUCCCCCCUCUCUGUCGGUGUUUCUCUGGUUCCCACCGCCC
rnacentral:misc_RNA from 1 species